rnacentral:lncRNA from 1 species
AGUGCAUUAAUUACGUCGUUAGUCUUUUCCCUAUCUUUUCAGUCUUAUUCCAUAAGUGUUUAGCCGAAGUUGGAAAGCCAAUCAUCACAUCACUUCAUCUGACACCCCUUCAUUUUCUGUACUCAACCAUCAAAUCUUCUCUCUUUAAGUUAAUCCUUUAUCGUAUCUUUCAUCUCCACCAUAUCCCUCAACCUCUACUAACCCCUUUUCAACCUUUUUCAUCUCUCUC